UACAGAGGGUGCAAACGUUGUUCGGAAUUACUGGGCGUAAAGCGCGUGUAGGCUGCUCUGCAAGUCGGAUGUGAAAGCCCUGGGCUCAACCUAGGAAGUGCACUCGAAACUGCAGAGCUGGAGUCCUGGAGAGGAAGGCGGAAUUCUCGGUGUAGAGGUGAAAUGCGUAGAUAUCGUGAGGAAGAUCAGUGGCGAAGGCGGAUCUCUGGACAGCUCCUGACGCUGAGGCACGAAGGCCAGGGGAGCAAACGGG
rnacentral:rRNA from 1 species